AGGUCAAAUCAUCAUGCCCCUUACGUCUAGGGCUACAGGCGUGCUACAAUGGCCGAUACAAAAAGAUGCAAUAUCGUGAGAUGGAGCAAAUCUCAAAAAUCGGUCUCAGUUCGGAUUGGAGUCUGCAACUCGACUCCAUGAAGUUGGAAUCGCUAGUAAUCCUGAAUCAGAAUGUCAGGGUGAAUACGUUCCCGGGUGUU
rnacentral:rRNA from 1 species